UACGUAGGUGGCGAGCGUUGUCCGGAUUUACUGGGCGUAAAGGGAGCGUAGGCGGACUUUUAAGUGAGAUGUGAAAUACCCGGGCUCAACUUGGGUGCUGCAUUUCAAACUGGAAGUCUAGAGUGCAGGAGAGGAGAAUGGAAUUCCUAGUGUAGCGGUGAAAUGCGUAGAGAUUAGGAAGAACACCAGUGGCGAAGGCGAUCCUCUGGACUGUAACUGACGCUGAGGCUCGAAAGCGUGGGGAGCAAACAGGAUUAGAUACCCCGGUAGU
rnacentral:rRNA from 1 species